GAUGAACGCUGGCGGCGUGCCUAAUACAUGCAAGUCGAGCGAACAGACGAGGAGCUUGCUCCUCUGACGUUAGAGGCGGACGGGUGAGUAACACGUGGAUAACCUACCUAUAAGACUGGGAUAACUUCGGGAAACCGGAGCUAAUACCGGAUAAUAUAUUGAACCGCAUGGUUCAAUAGUGAAAGACGGUUUUGCUGUCACUUAUAGAUGGAUCCGCGCCGCAUUAGCUAGUUGGUAAGGUAACGGCUUACCAAGGCAACGAUGCGUAGCCGACCUGAGAGGGUGAUCGGCCACACUGGACCUGAGACACGGUCCAGACUCCUACGGGAGGCAGCAGUAGGGAAUCUUCCGCAAUGGGCGAAAGCCUGACGGAGCAACGCCGCGUGAGUGAUGAAGGUCUUCGGAUCGUAAAACUCUGUUAUUAUGGAAGAACAAAUGUGUAAGUAACUAUGCACGUCUUGACGGUACCUAAUCAGAAAGCCACGGCUAACUACGUG
rnacentral:rRNA from 1 species